rnacentral:rRNA from 1 species
GGCACGAGUCUUUUGACAGAUUGAUGCUAUGUUUUCAAUGUAUUAGGUUUACACCAUCGUUGAUUGUAGUAUUGGGCUGUUGAAGUUAUGGGCUUUGCCUUACAAACUUUACCUUAAAGUUUGACCUCAAAUCAGGUAGGAUUACCCGCUGAACUUAAGCAUAUCAAUAAGCGGAGGAAAAGAAACCAACAGGGAUUGCCUUAGUAGCGGCGAGUGAAGCGGCAAGAGCUCAAAUUUGAAAUCUGGUACUUUCAGUAUCCGAGUUGUAAUUUGAAGAAAGUUAUCUUGGAGUUGGCCCUUGUCUAUGUUCCUUGGAACAGGACGUCACAGAGGGUGAGAAUCCCGUGCGAUGGGGUGCCCAUUCUAUGUAAGAUACUUUCGACGAGUCGAGUUGUUUGGGAAUGCAGCUCUAAGUGGGUGGUAAAUUCCAUCUAAAGCUAAAUAUUGGCGAGAGACCGAUAGCGAACAAGUACAGUGAUGGAAAGAUGAAAAGAACUUUGAAAAGAGAGUGAAAAAGUACGUGAAAUUGUUGAAAGGGAAGGGUAUUUGAUCAGACUGAUAUUCAGUUAACACUGUUCCUUGUGGACGGUGCUCUAGCUUUUUAUUGGGCCAGCAUCAGUUUAGGUGGCAGGAUAAGAACUGUUGAACGUGGCUCUUCGGAGUGUUAUAGCUUCAGUUGAUACUGCCUAUCUAGACUGAGGUCUGCGGCUUUGCCUAGGAUGCUGGCGUAAUGGUCUAAUACCGCCCGUCUUGAAACAUGGACCAAGGAGUCUAACGUCUAUGCGAGUGUUUGGGUGUAAAA